rnacentral:rRNA from 1 species
CGCGGCCUAUCAGCUUGUUGGUGGGGUGAUGGCCUACCAAGGCGGUGACGGGUAGCCGGCCUGAGAGGGAGACCGGCCACACUGGGACUGAGACACGGCCCAGACUCCUACGGGAGGCAGCAGUGGGGAAUAUUGCGCAAUGGGCGGAAGCCUGACGCAGCGACGCCGCGUGGGGGAUGACGGCCUUCGGGUUGUAAACCUCUUUCGCCAGGGACGAAGAGCAAUUGACGGUACCUGGAGAAGAAGCACCGGCCAACUACGUGCCAGCAGCCGCGGUAACACGUAAGGUGCGAGCGUUGUCCGGAAUUAUUGGGCGUAAAGAGCUCGUAGGCGGUGUGUCGCGUCGGCCGUGAAAACUUGGGGCUUAACUCUGAGCGUGCGGUCGAUACGGGCAUCACUUGAGAUCGGCAGGGGAGACUGGAAUUCCUGGUGUAGCGGUGAAAUGCGCAGAUAUCAGGAGGAACACCGGUGGCGAGGGCGGGUCUCUGGGCCGAUACUGACGCUGAGGAGCGAAAGCGUGGGGAGCGAACAGGAUUAGAUACCCUGGUAGUCCACGCCGUAAACGUUGGGCGCUAGGUGUAGGGACCAUUCCACGGUUUCUGUGCCGCAGCUAACGCAUUAAGCGCCCCGCCUGGGGAGUACGG